rnacentral:rRNA from 1 species
CUCAGAUUGAACGCUGGCGGCAGGCUUAACACAUGCAAGUCGAGCGGAAACGAUGAUAGCUUGCUAUCAGGCGUCGAGCGGCGGACGGGUGAGUAAUACUUAGGAAUCUACCUAGUAGUGGGGGAUAGCACGGGGAAACUCGUAUUAAUACCGCAUACGACCUACGGGAGAAAGGGGGCAGUUUACUGCUCUCGCUAUUAGAUGAGCCUAAGUCGGAUUAGCUAGAUGGUGGGGUAAAGGCCUACCAUGGCGACGAUCUGUAGCUGGUCUGAGAGGAUGAUCAGCCACACCGGGACUGAGACACGGCCCGGACUCCUACGGGAGGCAGCAGUGGGGAAUAUUGGACAAUGGGGGAAACCCUGAUCCAGCCAUGCCGCGUGUGUGAAGAAGGCCUUUUGGUUGUAAAGCACUUUAAGCAGUGAAGAAGACUCCGUGGUUAAUACCCACGGACGAUGACAUUAGCUGCAGAAUAAGCACCGGCUAACUCUGUGCCAGCAGCCGCGGUAAUACAGAGGGUGCAAGCGUUAAUCGGAAUUACUGGGCGUAAAGGGAGCGUAGGUGGCUCGAUAAGUCAGAUGUGAAAUCCCCGGGCUCAACCUGGGAACUGCAUCUGAUACUGUUGAGCUAGAGUAUGUGAGAGGAAGGUAGAAUUCCAGGUGUAGCGGUGAAAUGCGUAGAGAUCUGGAGGAAUACCGAUGGCGAAGGCAGCCUUCUGGCAUAAUACUGACACUGAGGCUCGAAAGCGUGGGUAGCAAACAGGAUUAGAUACCCUGGUAGUCCACGCCGUAAACGAUGUCUACUAGUCGUUGGGUCCCUUGAGGACUUAGUGACGCAGCUAAC